rnacentral:tRNA from 1 species
GCAUCCGUAGCUCAGUCGGAUAGAGCGCUCCCCUCCUAAGGGAGAGGCCGGAGGUUCGAUUCCUCUCGGAUGCACCA